UGUGGGAAGGGGACAAGGGGGGGGCGCCGCGGGAGGGGGGAGGGGGUGGUGGAAAAACACACUGUGCACCAGGCACAAUUUGGCCCAGCUACGCCUCUGGACCCUAGGGUUUUUAAGGUAAAAGGUGGCUUGCCUUUGCAAUCCUAGACUUCCUUGGUGGUCUCUCACCCAAGUUCUAACCAGGGCUGACGGGUUAACUCCCAUGAUCUAAUGAGAAUGAGAUCAUGGGCAGCCUUGACCUUAGUGAAACAAGGAGAAGAGAGGAACUGCUAACAAAUAUUUGAUAGGAGCACAAGUGCUUUUGAAUGAAAAAGAAAGACAGAGCUGCUAAAUGAUAACAGCGCUUAGUUCCUGUAUACUUUUUCAGCCAUUCAAGCCAUUGGUCUUUGCAGUUUGUUGAAAUCAACAACAGUAGCACCUUUUCUAGAUGCAAGAAGCUCUUCAGCCUCCUGCAUCAGGGUAGUGUGGUUUGCAUCAGAAGAAGGUACAGCUGUAGUGCAUUAUAUCCAUCAUUUAAACACCCUGCAAAUAGAUUUGACUUGGGGCAAAGCGGCUUGCCUAAGGACCUCUGAUGCCCUUUGUCACACAGCAUAUGUGCUUCAUGUGAGAACAGGGCUUGUAAUGUUACAUUUGAAGUGCAGGAACAUGUACAUGGUAUGGUGCUGUCACAAGAGGAUGGUAACAUGGAUCAUGGAGGUGGGAAAAAAUGAUAAACUACGUAUCAGCUUUUUUUUUAAUGUUCAAGUUAUUAAACACGAAUCUGAAAAAUAUGCCUGUUGCUCCGAGACCCGUGUGGAGUCCAGAGGAAGGCAUAGAUUGAACGCCAGGCCCAGUCAGGCCAAACCCAGUGUUCAACUGAGGACUCAGCCAGGCCAGGUUAGCUUUAAACUGCAGGCUUCAGAGGUGGAACCCACAGUUUAAAGCAGGAUGCAGCCAGACCGAAUCCAGUGUCAGACUAAGGACUUGGUUUGGCAGGGUCCAGCAUUGAACUGUGGACUCUGCAGGCAGUUCAAUGUGGGACCUGGCCAGAAUGCAGGUUACUCCUGCCAGGAAUCGGUGCCGCAGAGCCCCCCACAAUGGCAGCCCACACUGACCAAUCCUGCUGCUGAACGCCCGUGACAUCUACUCUGGGGAAAAAAGAAUGCUGUUUGCAAAGCGCAACCGUGCGAAGCGCAGGGGUUCUGCCGAUGUACUACCUGUCUCCGAGGCCCACCCAUGCGAACACUCUGUUGCUGCAACAUUGCCAAGAACACCGAUGGAACAACGCUGUAAUUGACUGUGCAGAAACAGCCUUAUGGUGACCACAGCAAGGGACCUUCAUGGCAAGUGAGAAGCAGAAGUGACAUUUGUUUGCCAUUGUCUUCUGCUGAGCUUUCCUUGGUGGCCUGCCUUCCAAGUACCAACCCUGAUCAGCUUCCAAGAUCUGAUGAGAUCCCACUGGUACUCAAAGUGGACAGUAUCAUUCUCUGGAGUCAGUGGGAUUAUCUAAGAGGCGAGUGGGCAGUGGGGUGGUGGUGCUGCUAGUGUUCUGUUCACUUAUGUACAGCUGCCCAGGCCAGAACCUAGAUGCUAGAAAAUGGCACCCCAAGUUUCUGGCUCUAUAUAGUACUGAAAUUCAGUGGAAAUAUAUUUGAGUUUUUAGUGAAGGAAGAACUAAUUGAACUACAAAAUGACAUUGAGUUGAAGCCAAAGUUUAUGAAAUUGUACCAGGAGUUUGGGUAACAGAAGGAAAUUUGUGAUCACUAUCCUGCACCCCAGACAGCAGAUGCAUUUCCAACUUCAUAUUUGGUGGAACGUGGUUUUUGUGUGGUCAUCCAUCUUCUCUCCAGAAGCAAACUCCAGAAGACUCCUGCUGCGUGACUUUAAGCCAGGCAUGGGGAAUUUCUUAUCACUUCAUGAAGUCCAUCCAUCACCUUAACAAUUUACUGAACAUCGAAGCAGUUACGAAAUGCGGUCUCUUAAGUUUCUUGUGAAAUGACUACCAGACUUUGAAAGCUGGUAUCACUGGAUCAAGUUCAUCGAUUUUCUUUUACUGGGAUUUUGAAUAAAUGUGCAAUUGAAAGUGCAGUCCUGGGGUGAAACCACUCUGCAGGCAGCGUGACCCCAGCGCCACCAUAAAUGCCAUUUCUGCCAGUGUUAGGGGUGUUCAUGCCAGUGCAGAGGCUCUUACACCAGUGCUGAGGAGCCAUGCAGCAGCACUAUGUUUGGGUUCCAGUGCCACCGCGGUACCAGCACUCCUCUGGUUCAGGAGUCCAUGCUGGCACCAAAGGUGGCAUUCCAGGGUGCAAAGGCAGCUUUAGUUGGCUUCUUGGGUCAUUUUGAUCCAGGAAUGCCCCCAUUUGCUGGCUCAGGGUUAUACCAGCAAAAUCAGUGAUGCGACCCACUGAGCUGUGUCAGCCACGCUCAUGGGGAAAGUGGUUACUUUCCGCUUCUUGUUCACGGCCCAGUAAACCUCUUCGGAGGUGAUACAGCUGUGCCAUGGCUGCGCCAUUACUAUUUUAAAUGUUAUUAUUAUCUUCCUUAGUGAAUUAUGCAAACUGCUGUUUUAAAUUAUGGUUUUUAACUUUUUUUUUUUUAGUUUUUGCUCUCUGACAGCAGGCAGGCGUGUUCCAAAGAAUUUACUUCUCCUCUACUGAACACAUAAAGACUUACUUCUGAGUAUAUGUGAAUAGGUUUGGGUUGAUACACUCCUUCUGGGAUGGCACGGACAUGCUUGAUGAACCAGUACAGGAAGACACCUUGUGAGGUCGGUGGGGCUGAGAGAGUUCUGAGAGAACUGUGACAAGCCCAAGGUCACCCAGCAAGCUUCAUGUGGAAGAGUGGGAAAUCAAACCUGGUUCACCAGAUUAAAGUCUGCUGUCUUUAACCACUUCACCAUGCUGACUGUCCCUGCAUUUUCCCCUUGUGCUAUGGGUAAUUAUUUCAUAGUUGUAGCUCUGUUUGCUUUAUGCUUCUGCUGUGGUUUGAAAUUGUUUUAUCAAUUAUUUGAUAAAAUUGUUUUAUCAAUUGAAA